rnacentral:lncRNA from 1 species
CCAGGUGGGUAGAUGGCAGGUUGAAUAAAGAGAAGCUAGUGAUGUGGGGGUUCUCUCAUAACCCUCAGUCCCCAGGUGGGUAGAUGGCAGGUUGAAUAAAGAGAAGCUAGUGAUGUGGGGGUUCUCUCAUAACCCUCAGUCCCCAGGUGGGUAGAUGGCAGGUUGUAUAUAGAGAAGCUAGUGAUGUGGGGGUUCUCUCAUAACCCUCAGUCCCCAGGUGGGUAGAUGGCAGGUUGAAUAAAGAGAAGCUAGUGAUGUGGGGGUUCUCUCAUAACCCUCAGUCCCCAGGUGGGUAGAUGGCAGGUUGAAUAAAGAGAAGCUAGUGAUGUGGGGGUUCUCUCAUAACCCUCAGUCCCCAGGUGGGUAGAUGGCAGGUUGAAUAAAGAGAAGCUAGUGAUGUGGGGGUUCUCUC